AUGGUGAUUUUGCAGAGAGAUCUAGAAGGAAUGAAUUCAGGUGAGUUUCUUGUGAUUUUUCCAGUGAAAGUGUUGAAUGAAUUUUAUAUCCUUCCCUGUAAAUCUGAAUUUGUUAUGAUGUUAAAAACUGAGCUAGAAAAAUCGGUUAGGACAAUUAGAGAGUUAUUUAGGGGUUAUGGAAUUCUGUUAUUUUUCUGUUAUAGGUAG